rnacentral:rRNA from 1 species
UUGAUCCUGGCUCAGAUUGAACGCUGGCGGCAGGCCUAACACAUGCAAGUCGAACGGUAGCACAGAGAGCUUGCUCUCGGGUGACGAGUGGCGGACGGGUGAGUAAUGCCUGGGAAACUGCCCGAUGGAGGGGGAUAACUACUGGAAACGGUAGCUAAUACCGCAUAACGUCUUCGGACCAAAGUGGGGGACCUUCGGGCCUCACACCAUCGGAUGUGCCCAGGUGGGAUUAGCUAGUAGGUGGGGUAAUGGCUCACCUAGGCGACGAUCCCUAGCUGGUCUGAGAGGAUGACCAGCCACACUGGAACUGAGACACGGUCCAGACUCCUACGGGAGGCAGCAGUGGGGAAUAUUGCACAAUGGGCGCAAGCCUGAUGCAGCCAUGCCGCGUGUAUGAAGAAGGCCUUCGGGUUGUAAAGUACUUUCAGCGGGGAGGAAGGCGGUGGAGUUAAUAGCUUCACCGAUUGACGUUACCCGCAGAAGAAGCACCGGCUAACUCCGUGCCAGCAGCCGCGGUAAUACGGAGGGUGCAAGCGUUAAUCGGAAUUACUGGGCGUAAAGCGCACGCAGGCGGUCUGUCAAGUCGGAUGUGAAAUCCCCGGGCUUAACCUGGGAACUGCAUUCGAAACUGGCAGGCUAGAGUCUUGUAGAGGGGGGUAGAAUUCCAGGUGUAGCGGUGAAAUGCGUAGAGAUCUGGAGGAAUACCGGUGGCGAAGGCGGCCCCCUGGACAAAGACUGACGCUCAGGUGCGAAAGCGUGGGGAGCAAACAGGAUUAGAUACCCUGGUAGUCCACGCCGUAAACGAUGUCGACUUGGAGGUUGUUCCCUUGAGGAGUGGCUUCCGGAGCUAACGCGUUAAGUCGACCGCCUGGGGAGUACGGCCGCAAGGUUAAAACUCAAAUGAAUUGACGGGGGCCCGCACAAGCGGUGGAGCAUGUGGUUUAAUUCGAUGCAACGCGAAGAACCUUACCUACUCUUGACAUCCAGAGAACUUAGCAGAGAUGCUUUGGUGCCUUCGGGAACUCUGAGACAGGUGCUGCAUGGCUGUCGUCAGCUCGUGUUGUGAAAUGUUGGGUUAAGUCCCGCAACGAGCGCAACCCUUAUCCUUUGUUGCCAGCGGUCCGGCCGGGAACUCAAAGGAGACUGCCAGUGAUAAACUGGAGGAAGGUGGGGAUGACGUCAAGUCAUCAUGACCCUUACGAGUAGGGCUACACACGUGCUACAAUGGCGCAUACAAAGAGAAGCGACCUCGCGAGAGCAAGCGGACCUCAUAAAGUGCGUCGUAGUCCGGAUUGGAGUCUGCAACUCGACUCCAUGAAGUCGGAAUCGCUAGUAAUCGUAGAUCAGAAUGCUACGGUGAAUACGUUCCCGGGCCUUGUACACACCGC